rnacentral:misc_RNA from 1 species
GAUAGAAGAACGUAGCGAAAUGCGAUAAGUAAUGUGAAUUGCAGAAUUCCGUGAAUCAUCGAAUCUUUGAACGCACAUUGCGCCCCCUGGUAUUCCGGGGGGCAUGCCUGUCCGAGCGUCAUUGCAACCUUCAAGCGCGGCUUGUGUGUUGGGUCUCGUCCCCCGUGGACGGGCCCGAAAGGCAGUGGCGGCGUCCCGACAUGGUGCCCGAGCGUAUGGGAAUCCUCUUCCGCUCGAAUCGGCCCAUGCGGCGCUGGUCGUAACCAAAUUUUUUACCGGUUGACCUCGGAUCAGGUAGGGAUACCCGCUGAACUUAAGCAUAUCAAUAAGCGGAGGA